GCGUCUGUAGCCUAGUUGGCAAAGGCAGCACUCUAGUUAUGUUGAGGUCAUGGGUUCGACUCCCAUCAGACACA
rnacentral:tRNA from 1 species